AAGUACUCCUCUUUAUUUCACAGAUCCACAAGAAUUUCACAUUAAUAAAGGCCAGUAUCAGAUAUACUUUUAAUGCCUUUAGAAAAUGUCUGCUGUUGGUUUAUUAUGACAGAGAUUCUUCUUGUUAUGGAGUUAUUUUCUAGGUUAAGUCUUCAGGAACAAGAACUGUAUGUUAUUAAAUGUUAUAUGUAUGAUAUCUAUUAUAGGUAAUACAUGAAUUGUUUGCUGACUACAUUAAUCUAUUUCAAAAUACUAAGUUAUGCUCACAUAAUUAUGAUAGAUUAAAAGAAACUGAUAUUUCAUUUUCUAUUCCUUCACUUUGGGUUUUCUAUCUAUAUUCAUAAUACAUUUCUUUAAAAACUAAUGUUCGGCCGGACGCGGUGGCUCACGCCUGUAAUCCCAGCACUUUGGGAGGCAUGAGCCACCAUGCCAGGACAAAACGUAAUUUUAGAUCUCUUAUGCUAAGUGGCCAUUUUCAUUUAAAUUUUAAAUUUAAGAGCCAGGUCUCACUAGGUUACCCAGGCUGCUUGCAAUCAUAGCACGCUACAGCUUCAAAUUCCCAGGCUAUAGCGAUCCUCUUGCCUUAGCCUCCCCAGUAGCAGGGACUACAAGUGUGCACCACGGCACUAAGCUCCAAUUUUUAUUUGUUAUCUGCUUCUGUCUAUAAGCUCCACGAGGACAGGAGCCAACUGUUUAUUUCCUACUCUUGCAGGGUUUUGUUUGACCCCUUCAACAAAUCUCUCCACUUGCUGCAUUACAGGGGUCUC
rnacentral:lncRNA from 1 species